GGGGUUUUAGCUUAAUUAAAGCAUCUGGGUUGCAUUCAGAAUAUGUGAGGUUAUCUCGCAAAUCCUA
rnacentral:tRNA from 1 species